CAUCCUGAUUUUUUACAUUUGCUAUCUGGUCACCCUAGUUACCCAGGAGAAAAAGAUUAUAGUGAAUUAGUCACCAAGAGUCAGGGAGCCUUAAAGAAGGCAACAAUUUUUACUCUUCCGUUAAGGCUGCAUGGGGAUUUGAAUGCUUGAUUUUUAGCUUCAGAAGGGAGAGCUGUUUCCAACACCACCAAGUCAUCUCCCAAAGAAGAGUGGUUUGAUCUGAGUCCAUAUUGGCCUUCCUCCCGCUCCCUCAUUUUAAACCCAUUUGAUUGUUCCUGGACAACAGCUCUCUUGACAGAUCUCCCCCUGUGCAUUAGGGUGAUAUCGAUGUGAUUCUCACAGUUCACAAGGAAUUCAAAGAUCCUGUGAUAGACUUUCCUACCACAGCAUAGCCUUCUCUGCAACAGGAUGCUCAUGUGACAGUUACCACAGAGCUAGGUUGGAGUGUGGUGGCAGCACACAUGAGUUCAAGAUCAGGUCUGAAGUUACGUCAAUGACACGUGAGAGAGGGUGCUACCCAAUAAGCCUUCUUAGGCUCUGAUACUGCAUGUGGAUACCUGAACUUGUCCGGAAUCCCAUAGGCUUCAAUGAGACUCUGCAAGGGCUCAGGAAUCUGCCUAUGUGGAGAGUUGCAGGAUCACACCGUCAGAUGCCAAGCUCUGCAGGACAUCGACUGUCUCUUACUAUGUGUGUUGUACAAUACCUAGCACAACAUGGUUGGAUCUCAGUUGGGGUAUUUAGGCACUGCUGUAGUAAAACUACCUUGAGGUUUGUUUAAAACUAAUU